rnacentral:tRNA from 1 species
GGAGAUAUAGCUCAGUUGGUAGAGUGCUUGCCUCACAUGCACAAGGCCUUGGGUUCAAUUCCCUGCACCCCCC